CUGGAGGGUGGAGGGCUCGUGAGUGUCCCCCCGCCAACCCCGCCGUGGUGAGGGCUGGCCCACCGGGAGGAUGUGCUUGGGGACGAGGGACUCGCGGCACUGAGCUGUCAGGUCAUCUGAGGGCCAGUGUGUCCUGCUUGUACUCGGAGAUCAGUGACCACACGGUUGGAGGCUGUCAAGGUGUGUGUGACCGAAAGCAGGGCCCCUGCUGGAGGCCAGGCUGCUCUGGGCCCCGCCCUCCUGUCACCUCCCCACUGGGUUCACUUUAGGAUUUGGGACUGCACCGUUUAGGUUGGCUUUGUGCUUUGUUUGAACUUGUGUUUCUGUGACUCUUAGGACAUGAGGACCUUCCAUUCAAUACCAGUAAUAUUGACUGAGCCCUUCUCCCUGGCUGGCUGAUGCAGCCGCCGCCUUGCAGACCUUAGCAGUUACAGCUUGCAGACUGAUCGCCCAGUGCCGUAAGGCACGGCAGAGUGCUCACAGGGACAUCAAGUUUUCUCUAAAGAAAGUGGACAGAAGGGCUUGUUCCCAGCUGGGCUGGGGAGUGGGGCCAUGGGGAGAAUCAGGGAGCUGAAGUUCUCACAGAGGCGCGAAGGCAAGAAUUGGGCUCACGCCAUUCUUCAAAACACAUGGGAUUGAACUUGGUCUUCUCAAAAAAGUUUCUGUAUUGAGUUCCUUGGAUGAAACACAACCCUGAGAUGUGGGUACAGAUCUGGGAGGUGACCUCUGUGAUGGUCCCUAAGUAUGUGGUGGCUUCACUGGGACAUUUUCUCAGCGAGGGCCCAGCAAUGCGUGAGCGGCCUGGGGAGCGGUUGGAAAGCUAAUCGCCAUUGGAAGACCAGAGAGGCUCUUUCCGACAUUCGUGCUCGAAGCACCUGACCCUGGCAGCAGCUGGAUUAACGGAAGAGUCUUCGUGCCCUACUUUGAGGAGUGAGUUUAGCUGCGAGGAUCUUUCAGCAGGUCUAGGGCGUGUCUCGCGAGGCUGCCUGCCAGGAGAACACUUCCCCUGCAGGGGAUGUGGCUGCAGGCUGUUGAUUUCCACUGAAAUCACCCGGGCCUGAUUCCGGUGAAGCCCUGAACAUCCGGUGUCUUCCCCGCAGGGUGGGGUGUGAUGGACGGAAGGCCUGCAACCCCAGGGCCUCACUGUGCUGACAGAGCGCGUGGCGGAGACGGCCACUUUCCUUUUCAGAAUGAAGGACUGCCACACUAGAGGUGAAAUCCUGCUGAAAUGAGAAAAGGACUUUAUGACAGCCCUGCAGGCAGCUCUGUGAUUAUUUUUAUUGUUAUUCUUGGAAUCCGGCAGAAUUUUGCUCCUGUCACAAUAUCUCUACUCUCUCCAGUCAGACGCGGUAACAAUAAAAAUAUGACUUAGCCUGUACUCCCC